rnacentral:rRNA from 1 species
CCAAUAGCGCAUAUUAAAGUUGUUGCAGUUAAAAAGCUCGUAGUUGAAUUUCAGGCCUGGCUGGACGGUCCGCCCUUCGGGUGAGUACUGUCUGUGGUCGGGUCCUACCUUCUGGCGAAGCGUCAUGGCCUUAACCGGCCGUGGCGGGGAACCAGGACUUUUACUGUGAAAAAAUUAGAGUGUUUAAAGCAGGCUCGCGCUUGAAUACAUUAGCAUGGAAUAAUGAAAUAGGACGUUGACCCUAUUUUGUUGGUUUCUAGGAUUGACGUAAUGAUUAAUAGGGAUAGUUGGGGGCAGUAGUAUUCAAUUGUCAGAGGUGAAAUUCUUGGAUUUAUUGAAGACUAACUACUGCGAAAGCAUUUGCCAAGGAUGUUUUCAUUAAUCAAGAACGAAAGUUAGGGGAUCGAAGACGAUCAGAUACCGUCGUAGUCUUAACCAUAAACUAUGCCGACUAGGGAUCGGAUGAUGUUAUUUUUAAUGACUCAUUCGGCGCCUUACG